rnacentral:sRNA from 1 species
GCUGGGCACGGUGACGCACACCUGUAACCCCAGCAGCUUGGGAGGCUGAGGCAGGAGGAUCGUGAGUUCAAAGCCAGCCUCAGUAACAGCGAGGCGCUAAGCAACUGAGACCCUGUCUCUA